rnacentral:rRNA from 1 species
AAUUGGUAUUUAAUUGGUGCCUUGAAGGAAAGGUAUAAUGAUUUUAACAUUGUCUCAUUUGUAUUUUUAGAAAAAUUUAAAUAAUAGUCAAGAUGCUAUUUGAAACUUAUAAGACGAAAAGACCCCAAAACCUUUACUAUACAAUAAGUUACAAAAUAAAGUAAAUUAAUUUUGGUAGUUUAACUGGGAAGGUUAUCUUUUAUAAAAACAAAGAGAAUUAAAAUUAAUUACUUAAAUACUAGUAUUAAAUAAAAAUUGUUUAUAAAAAAUAUUAACAAUAAAAAUAUUUGAAAAUAAGAUCAUCUGAGUGAUAUAUUUGAUAAGGUACUUUGGGGAUAACAGCGUUAUCUAGAAAAAGAGAAGACAUCAACUUCUAGGUUUGCGACCUCGAUGUUGAAUUGGGAUAUCCGUUAGAUAGCAAAAGUUUAAAAUGGUUAGAUUGUUCAUCUAUUAAAAUCUUACAUGAUUUGAGUUCAUUCC